rnacentral:rRNA from 1 species
UACGGGGGGGGCGAGCGUUAUUCGGAAUUAUUGGGCGUAAAGGGCGCGUAGGCGGCCUGGCAAGUGGAAGGUGAAAUCCCUCGGCUUAACCGGGGAACUGCGUCUGAUACUGGAUGGCUUGAAUCCGGGAGAGGGAUGCGGAAUUCCAGGUGUAGCGGUGAAAUGCGUAGAUAUCUGGAGGAACACCGGUGGCGAAGGCGGCAUCCUGGACCGGCAUUGACGCUGAGGAGCGAAAGCCAGGGGAGCAAACGGG